rnacentral:rRNA from 1 species
UACGGAGGGUGCGAGCGUUGUCCGGAAUCACUGGGCGUAAAGGGCGCGUAGGCGGCCUGAUAAGUAGGGGGUGAAAUCCUGCGGCUUAACCGCAGGGCUGCCUUCUAAACUGUCAGGCUUGAGCACAGUAGAGGCAGGUGGAAUUCCCGGUGUAGCGGUGGAAUGCGUAGAGAUCGGGAGGAACAACAGUGGCGAAGGCGGCCUGCUGGACAAUUACUGACGCUAAGGCGCGAAAGCGUGGGGAGCAAACAGG